rnacentral:rRNA from 1 species
GUGGGGAAUCUUGCGCAAUGGGCGAAAGCCUGACGCAGCGACGCCGCGUGAGUGAUGAAGGCCUUCGGGUUGUAAAGCUCUGUGGAGAGAGACGAAUAAGUCGUAGCGAAUAGCUCCGAUGAUGACGGUAUCUCUUUAGCAAGCACCGGCUAACUCUGUGCCAGCAGCCGCGGUAAGACAGAGGGUGCAAACGUUGUUCGGAAUCACUGGGCGUAAAGCGUGUGUAGGCGGCUUUGUAAGUCAGGUGUGAAAGCCCCGGGCUCAACCUGGGAAGUGCACUUGAUACUGCAGAGCUCGAGUACCGGAGAGGUUGGUGGAAUUCUCGGUGUAGAGGUGAAAUUCGUAGAUAUCGGGAAGAACAUCGGCGGCGAAGGCGGCCAACUGGACGGAUACUGACGCUGAGACACGAAAGCGUGGGGAGCAAACAGGAUUAGAUACCCCAGUAGUCC